GACAGAGGGUGCGAACGUUGUUCGGAAUUACUGGGCGUAAAGAGCUUGUAGGCGGUUUGUCGCGUCUGCUGUGAAAAUCCGGGGCUCAACCCCGGACUUGCAGUGGGUACGGGCAGACUAGAGUGUGGUAGGGGAGACUGGAAUUCCUGGUAUAGCGGUGAAAUGCGCAGAUAUCAGGAGGAACACCGAUGGCGAAGGCAGGUCUCUGGGCCACUACUGACGCUGAGAAGCGAAAGCAUGGGGAGCGAACAGG
rnacentral:rRNA from 1 species